GCCUCCCUCGCUGUUACACCAGGGCUGCAGAUAAAAGAGGCCGACUCACUCUCCUCCCACCAUUUAGUACAGUGAGCCACUCAGCCGGAGGACAGGACGUAUCGCUGCUCAAAACCAAGGGUGUAUGUAUGUGUGUGAGGGAGAGAAACGCUGAAAACUGGACGUCUUUUCGCUUGAUUUAAACCGUCCAGCGAGCUCGCGGUGUUCUCCUUCGGUUGUGGUUGUAAAAAAAAAAACUUCGGCUCAGUCAGCGUUUAAACCCGGCGUCUCUCUUCCCCGCCUGUAUCUCGGACACACAAACUGCGCCCCCGGCCGUUUGGGGCGUGUGGCUCGUGGGAGAGCUCAACUUUUUACCGAGCGGACAGAAAACAAAUGAAAGUGCCCUCAGACAGACAGGAGCGUUGGGAGCCAGUGGGAUGUUAGCUGUGGCUGAGACAGCAGGAGCGACUGAAGGAGCAUGGUGAAACACCAACCCCUCCAAGUCUAUGAGCGUCAGCUGUGUUUGUCAUGCAUCACCGGGAUCUAUGGGUGCAGGUGGAAGCGCUACCAGAGGUCACAUGACGACACCACCAAGUGGGAGCUGCUGUGGUCCGUCAUCCUCCUCUUCACCUUCUCUCUGCUGCUCAUCUGGUCCUACUUCUGGUGGGAGGCAGACAACGACUACAACGAAUUCAACUGGUUCCUGUACAACCGCUCUGGGGAGUGGACCGAUGGAACGGUUCCCAUCCUGGCCACCACUGCUGCUGGCUUCACCUACAUUGCAUUUUUAAUGGUUUUAGCACUUUGCCAUGUUGCACUCGGGCAACAGCUGAAUUUGCACUGGCUUCACAAGAUUGGAGUAACUGCUGCUUUACUCACCACCGUUAUCGGGAUAAUAUCAGUCACUCAAACAUGGGAACAAGAGUGGGAUGUGAUCCCCAUCUCCUUUCAGGCUACGGGUCCCUUCCUGCACGUUGGGGCCCUCGCCGCAGCCACUGCUCUGUCUUGGAUUGUCGCUGGACAGGUUGCCCGGGCAGAAAAGACAAUCUUUCAGGUGGUGGUGGUGCUGCUGUAUCUCAGUGUGUUACUGGGACUCUAUGUUCUGCCACUUUAUCUCACCUCGCCCUGCAUCAUGGACCCCAGCACCCUUAAACCGCGGCCCGAGGUUUUCGGCCACCAGGGAGCCCCCAUGCUUGCUCCAGAGAACACUCUGUGGUCCUUCCAGCGAGCUCUGCAUAUGAACGUCAGCGGGCUGGAGGCUGACGUAGCCAUAAGUGUGGAUGGCGUACCUUUCCUAAUGCAUGACCUCACCCUGCGGAGAACCACAGAUGUAGGAAAGGUUUUUCCUGACAGAGAGAAGGACAAAGCUUCACAGUUCAACUGGACAGAUCUGCAGCAGCUCAACGCGGGACAGUGGUUCCUCAAGGACGACCCCUUCUGGACUGUGAACACCAUGACGCUGCGGGAGAGGAACCUGACCGCCAAGCAGAGCGUGUGCAGCCUGGAGCAGCUGCUGAGUCUGGCCUCCUAUCACAACAGCACGGUGGUUUUCAGGCUGCGAAGGCCGCCUCCGGAGCACCCCUGCUACGCCACGUGGAUCAACGAUACGCUGCAAGCUGUGCAGAAGUCCGGAGUUCCUCAGAGCCUGGUGAUGUGGACUCCGGAUGAUGAGCGAGCCCAGGUGACGCGGUCGGCACCUGGUUUCAUCCAGACCUCUCUGGAGAAGCACAGCCCGGAACAUCUGCACAGGUUGGGCAUCAGCAGGCUGCUGCUCAGAUACAACCAGGCCAGCGCCCGGGAAAUCGCAGAGUACUCCAGAAACAACAUCAGCCUUACCGUCUACACCGUCAACGAGCCGUGGCUGUACUCGGUGCUGUGGUGCAGCGGGGUCUCCGCCGUCUCCUCAGAGGCCCCACAUAUCCUCAAAAAGGUGCCUUAUCCCGUCUGGCUCAUGAGUCCAAAUGAAUACUGCCUGAUGUGGGUGUCUGCAGACCUCCUUUCCUUUGCUGUUGUCAUAGGAAUAUUCAUUCUGCAGAACUAUCACGUGAUCAGGUACCGGAUGAGCGGCAUGCGCAGCUACAACCCUGAGCAGAUCAUGCUGAGCGCGGCGGUCCGGACGUCCAGUCGAGACGUCAACGUCAUGAAGGAGAAGCUCAUCUUCUCUGUUCAACCUCAUUAAGGCCCCCCCCCCCCCUCCCCGUCCAGCAUCCCUUGUGUGACGUAUCGCCUCCUGGCCGUCCUACCUCAUCCACUCUCUUCGCCAGCAGCGACUAUCUCCUUUCCUCCAAACGUUUUCCCUGUUGCUCAUUAAACCUCCCUCCGCCCGUUUUUCUCCCUCUUCAUCCGUCCUUCCAACUCUUCGCACUCAUCCUCCCCACAAACCUCCUACUGGGACGUAGAGUAGGAGAUCUUAUAGAGCAGUUUGUCUAGACACCCUCUAGUCCCGGGGAAGAGAAAGGUGAGGAACGGUGGCAGCGCCGAGGAGCUGUAUGAAGAGCACGGCUUUGACUCGUACAGCGGCCAGAGCAUCAGGCAGUGAUCUUCCAGCUCAGGCGGUGUGAGUCUGCUGGAAGGACACUGAAACAUGUCAACGAGCGAAAAGUCAUGGCCCCCCCAACCCCGACCUGCUGAGGAGCCGUCUGAACGCCUCGUUGCUCCGCGGACCCUCUGUAAAUAGCGUCUCCGUCUCUCCUCUUGGACAGCAGGUUUAUCACACAACGCCGCCGGCGCUUGUUUUAAACGGAUCUGCUCUGACGACUCCUCCGCCGACGUCUAAAUGUUCAGGGACUCCCCGUCAGUCCCCUCACUUCAGGCUGAAUUUCCAAAGCGGGUUUCUUCUUAUUUUCGGCUCUGUAAAUGUUAGCGCAGCAUGGCGACGCCCCUGCCUCUGCUGUAGUUCCUGAUAGUGAUAUUUAUAUUUAAAGAGAUGAAACCUAAGACUGUUUACAGACGUCUUGCCUUCUCCUCCAGAUGGAUUAUUCACACGGUGCAUGUCAAAGUGUUUUGAUACUCCCCGCCUGCCGUACUUCUCAUCCCUGGAUCCCAAUGCAAGAACCCUGUGGACGUUGUGUGAGCUGUGCUCGCAGUAAAAAACCAGGAGAACUGCUGACGAUGGUUUAUAGGAAUAAGAUUGGCCUUUUCUUGGUUGACUGUUGUGCUUAUUGAUUGGUUUCCUUUUUGUAACGUGUUCAGUGUACUGUAUGGAUUCUGACUGGGUCUGUUUAUUUUUUUACCUUGCGUGCAGUGUUAUGAUGAUGAUGAUGAAUGUGUAAAUCGUAUAAGAGUAACUUAUCAGCAAUGUGACACUUUGAUUAUCUCAAGACGAGUAGGCAGGCCUGUGACCUGCUGUCAUUCUGUGGUAUUUUCAUGUGGGGAAACCUAAUGCAUGUAACUGUUGGUGUGAAGCCGGGGAAUAAAGUGAAGCUGGUUGAAGGGGUGCAACGCAGACUGAAUGCCGUUAGUCUGCAUUUUAUUACGGUUGGCGUGCCUGAGAAUUAAAGAUUACAUCUUCAAACACAA